rnacentral:rRNA from 1 species
UACGGGGAGUGCAAGCGUUGUUCGGAAUUAUUGGGCGUAAAGCGCGUGUAGGCGGCUUGGUAAGUUCGGUGUGAAAGCCCUCGGCUCAACCGAGGAAGUGCAUCGGAUACUGCCAGGCUUGAGUGCGGGAGGGGAGAGCGGAAUUCCCAGUGUAGAGGUGAAAUUCGUAGAUAUUGGGAGGAACACCAGUAGCGAAGGCGGCUCUCUGGACCGACACUGACGCUGAGACGCGAAAGCGUGGGGAGCAAACAGG